CUUGGUCAUUUAGAGGAAGUAAAAGUCGUAACAAGGUUUCCGUAGGUGAACCUGCGGAAGGAUCAUUAUUGAUUGGUCGAAAGACCUUAUCAGAUUCUACCACCUCUGUGAACCGUUGACCUCCGGGUUAAUAAUCAAACAUCAGUGUAACGAACGUAAGAGUAUCUUAAUUAAACAAAACUUUUAACAACGGAUCUCUUGGCUCUCGCAUCGAUGAAGAACGCAGCGAAAUGCGAUAAGUAAUGUGAAUUGCAGAAUUCAGUGAAUCAUCGAAUCUUUGAACGCACCUUGCGCCUUUUGGUAUUCCGAAAGGCAUGCCUGUUUCAGUGUCAUGAAAUCUCAAUCUAAUAUGUUUUCUGAACAUGUUAGGCUUGGACUUGGGUGUCUGCCAGCAAUGGCUCACCUUAAAUGACUUAGUGGAACAUCCCACAUCAGUGUUAGACGUAAUAAGUUUCGUCUCUCCUUGUGGUGAUGACUGCUCAGAACCUGCCAUCGCGCAUCUUUUGACUUUGACCUGAAAUCAGGUAGGGCUACCCGCUGAACUUAAGCAUAUCAAUAAGCGGAGGA
rnacentral:rRNA from 1 species